UGUUCUGUGGCUUAGUUGGUUAAAGCGCCGGUCUUGCGAAUACGGAGUCGUGGGUUCGAAUCCCACCAAAACGC
rnacentral:tRNA from 1 species